GGUUGUGUAACUCAGUCUGGUAGAGUGCUCGCUUGACUCGCGGGAGGUCGUAGGUUCAAAUCCUGUCACAACCA
rnacentral:tRNA from 1 species